rnacentral:rRNA from 1 species
GUAACUGCAGAAACCUGUCUCAAGUCUGACCGAGCGUCAGUAGUAUCUCCCGCAAUGACUGAGCUCUGAACGUAGCAAGCUCGGCUGAGUGAUGGAGGCUUCCGAUCGUAAACGUCGUUGUUAGGAGAACCAUGCCUAGCUGAUUAAUCCUGCACCGUAGGAGGAAGCCUAUCACGUAAAGACCUUUUGCCGAGGUAUCGUCACAGCAAGCUGCGGUACUACGUGGGUUGGUCAAAGUUAUCCGGCAAUUAUUCGCGCGUAAUGGCGGGGCGCCGGUGGAUUUCCUUAAGUUCUUAUUGUGAAUGCCCACGGCUCCACCCGUGGCAGGAGUCAUUGGAAAACUUGGAGACUUGAGUGCAGAGGAGGAAACGUGGAAUCCCAUGUGUAGCGGUGAAAUGCGUAGAGAUAUGGAGGAACACCAGUGGCGAAGGCGACUUUCUGGUUUGUAACUGACACUGAGGCGCGAAAGCGUGGGGAGCAAAACAGGAUUAGAUUUCCUGGUAGUCCACGCCGUAAACGAUGAGUGCUAAGUGUUAGAGGGUUUCCGCCCUUUAGUGCUGAAGUUAACGCUUUAAGCACUCCGCCUGGGGAGUACGGCCGCAAGGCUGAAACUCAAAGGAAUUGACGGGGGCCCGCACAAGCGGUGGAGCAUGUGGUUUAAUUCGAAGCAACGCGAAGAACCUUACCAGGUCUUGACAUCCUCUGAAAACUCUAGAGAUAGAGCUUCUCCUUCGGGAGCAGAGUGACAGGUGGUGCAUGGUUGUCGUCAGCUCGUGUCGUGAGAUGUUGGGUUAAGUCCCGCAACGAGCGCAACCCUUGAUCUUAGUUGCCAUCAUUAAGUUGGGCACUCUAAGGUGACUGCCGGUGACAAACCGGAGGAAGGUGGGGAUGACGUCAAAUCAUCAUGCCCCUUAUGACCUGGGCUACACACGUGCUACAAUGGACGGUACAAAGAGCUGCAAGACCGCGAGGUGGAGCUAAUCUCAUAAAACCGUUCUCAGUUCGGAUUGUAGGCUGCAACUCGCCUACAUGAAGCUGGAAUCGCUAGUAAUCGCGGAUCAGCAUGCCGCGGUGAAUACGUUCCCGGGCCUUGUACACACCGCCCGUCACACCACGAGAGUUUGUAACACCCGAAGUCGGUGGGGUAACCUUUAUGGAGCCAGCCGCCUAAGUGGACAUUUUCG